AAUGUUCGAAAUCGAACAUGUACACCCAAUUAAGGGUGACAAGUAAUUAGCGUGCAUGGCUCGAUAAGUCGAGCUAUGCAGCAUAAAUAUAACGAAGUACAUAGAGCUGGUCUCUUUUGACAGUGAACGUUCAUACAGUGCAGUUGAUUAUCCGAAACCCGUGUAGGUUGUACAAAGUCCGCUCAAGUGAAAGUAAAAGUUUUAUAGUGGCGACGUGGAAGUUAGAACCCGGUGUGCAGUGCUUAUUUCGACGAGAACAUUUCAAAUGGGCCGAUAAACAAAACUGAAGGUUUUAGGUACGCGGUCGACCGCUAGCAAUAAUAGUGCUGGAAGUUUUUUUAUUGGCCGGCGUAGCUAAUUUUGAUAUAAACCUUUGCGGUUGGAUCGACGGACAAAAACGGCCAUCCAGUAGCAUCCGGUACUUAUACGAAGAACGGAAUUUUCAUACCAAAUUUGCCGGAGGCAAUUGACGGUAUAACCCAGUACGAUUAGUGUUGAUCGUCAACCAUCCAGUGAUAUCCGGUGCAGUGUCGACGGAAGGAUUUUUAUACAAAAUUUGUCGGAGCAAAUCCACGGUAAUCUACUGCGAUUGAAGUUGAUCGGUUCAAUACUUUGAGCAGCAUGAAAUUUUCCUAAGGGAGCUGAUGGACGAAAAUGAAGACAUUGCAAUGAGCAAUGAUCUUUGGAAAUUUUCGAAAGAAUUUGCGUCGGUGUUUAAAGCGGCCUUCAUAGCUACGAAAAGACUACAGGAGGAAUCAUUGGUAAUGGGUGACUUAGUUUUUAUUUGGCUUGAAAUGCAUUCUUCAGCACGAAGAGAGUGGAUCAAAUAUGGCGAGUACUUUGGUGGAGACUAUGAAGGAUCGCCAACGAGCACUCUUUGAAAACAAACCCUACCUUGCAGCCAUCUACAUGGGCACAAGGCUAAACUACUCUGGAACAGAUUUCUUAUCGGAAGAAGCAAAGGCCACAGCACUUUGAACAUUUGUUGCAGUUAUGGGAAAAGGUGAAGCAGACAGUCACGGAACCUACAUCAAUACCUUUAACGCUCCCCUCUACAUCAACAGCUUCAGCAACGAGAGUUGAGGAAAUGCUAACUGCAAAAACAGCAACUGUAAAUGAGAAGAAGCAAACAAUUGCAAAAAAAUUGAAACAACUUUCGCCAAUUCUACCCAAAACGUCCUCAUUUAUUGGGAAGGUUUGAAAAAAUGUGAGCCGGAGCUGUACGCCUUGGCUCAGGUGGCAUUAGCCGUCCCAUGUACGCAGGUGUCAGUGGAGCGUUCUUUUAGUUCGAUGUCACUAAUCUUAACAGACAGAACAGUAAAGCUGAACGAUAAAAAUUUGUCGAACAUUUUGAAAUAGACAUGUUUCAUUAAUCAAAAAUCAAUUCUUAAUAAUAUGUGGAACUGCAUAAAUAUAACAAAACAUGUAACUU